UACGGAGGGUGCAAGCGUUAUCCGGAUUCACUGGGUUUAAAGGGUGCGUAGGCGGGUAAGUAAGUCCGUGGUGAAAUCUCUGAGCUUAACUCAGAAACUGCCGUGGAUACUAUUUGCCUUGAAUAUUGUGGAGGUGAGCGGAAUAUGUCAUGUAGCGGUGAAAUGCUUAGAUAUGACAUAGAACACCAAUUGCGAAGGCAGCUCACUACACAAUCAUUGACGCUGAGGCACGAAAGCGUGGGGAUCAAACAGG
rnacentral:rRNA from 2 species